UGAAAAUCUGUGGGAGACUCACAAGCAAAGCCCAAAAUGUCCUGAUAUCUUUGCAAAAGAUGAUGGUGUGAAAAUAACCACAAAGAUCAAAAUGAUGAUUUGGAGGUAGAAGCACCUGCAUUUUUGGGUUUUGUGGUCAUCUUGAUCUUGUGUCUGUAUAGUUAUUGAAUACUUAUAUAUGUGGCUUCUUGACUGUGAAACACAGCUGAGUCGAGUUUUUUGUGAUGAACUCCAUAGAGCACAAAGUAGUGGGAGGGAUCUAAAACUUUUCAGGUGUUUUGAAUCAUUUCCUACCAAGUUCUGACUUGAAUUAUUCAUAUUAGGCUAUAAGAAAAGUAAUGAAAAACCUCAGGGACAUGGGACAUGCUAGUUCUUUGUGGCUACUGGUGAACAGGCUUCUUUGAACGAUUUGCAUUUUCAGUGAAUAAAAAAGAGGGUUAAAAAGAGAUGGCGUUUUGCUUCAGGCUACUUUUGCUCCAUCCAUAACACUCAAAUCCCAAAGACUUGUUUUGUGAUGAUUAUUAGCCUUAAAUUAUCUACUGAGGUAAAUUUUUAGCCGUUGUCAUAAACCACACAUUCAGGCAAGAGCAUCGGCUUUUGGCUCAGCAUGGAUUAACUGAAAUGUGGAAGUGGUCUGCUGGAUACUUGAGCACUAUUGCAACUUAUCCUCUAAAGUUUCCUUUAGCUUUAUUUCUUUUUGUCUCCCUAGACUUGAAAAAACACUGCUAUUGGUAAACCCUUCUACCUUCUCUCUAAAAUCUUCCAACUGGAGGAUAUCUAACUCAGCAUUCUGGUUCUCCUGGUGUUGCUCAUGAGUUGAUCAUCUUAUAGCAAAAGUCGUCCUUUGCCCUUAUUAGCUUGCCCAGCAGGAUGGGCUCCUGUGCUCCAGUUCUCAGAAACAGUAGGAAUAAUUGAGGACACUUGAGAGAUACAGAAGUCAGGCAGACUUUCUGACAUGUAUAAAGCUCUGCUUGGUCUGUCUAAAGGUGUGUCUAGACACUGCCAUGACCUAAAUCAUUACAACAUCUGAGUACUUAUACUCUGUGGAGCAGAACUGACUGUGAUACAUAGCAAAUAGCCAAGCUUAUAUACUUUUUUGAAAGAGAAUAUUGCUCUAUACCUUCUGAGAUGAAUAGUGAUUGUAGUCAAUUUUAGCAAAACUAGCACAUGCAUGAGGCAGGGCUAAUGGCAGAGCAAUUUUCAUUUGCCAGUUGAUUGUACUUACCCAACAGAAAGAACAUUAACAAAGAUAUCAUAUGGUGUCUGAUCUUCUGCUUUGAAUAAGCAAGAGGGCAACUUCAGCUUUUAGAAGAUCAGUUUUCACUUGAAAAGACAUCUUUCUCUAUGGGCUUCUGCUGAAAAAAAAAAAAAAAGCCCAACCAGAUUAUUUAUUUAUAGUGAAUGUCUAUUGUCCUUAGACAAGUUGAAGAUAAAAUAGAAAAGCUUUGAGACUGAAUUUAGAAAGUGCCAACUUUUAUCAUUGUUAUUUAGGUUUAUAAACCAGCCAGUAACCUACAGAUUAUUACCAAUUUGUGAAUCCUGUUUAAAUGAACUGAGAAGAAGAAGGCAGGAAUUUAGCAUUUCCUUGAUCGAACAACUAGUAGGAUAACAAGCCCUUUUCCUGACAUCUCCCAUGCUUAUGGAGACUUAGGGCAUCCUGCGUACUUUGCUGCCAUGCAGCAUGUAUUGACCAGGGUCACAUCAUGUGAUUAAACGUGUGGAAAAAAAAAAAAAAAAAAAAAGGGGAUAACUGUAUAGAGAUAAAAAUGUCACUGAAAUCUAUUUCUCUAACUUGUGCUGCCAUUCAGUGAGACCUGGACAGGCUGGAGGACUGGGCAGAGAAGAACCUGAUGAAGUUCAACAAGGGCAAGUGUAGGGUCCUGCACCUAGGGAGGAAUAACCCCAAGCACCAGUACAGGUGAGGGGUGGACCUGCUGGAAAUCAGCACUGCAGAGAAGGACAUGGGAGUUCUGGUUGACAACAGGUUGACCAUCAGUCAACAAGGUGCCCUUGUGGCCAAGAAGGCAAAUGGUAUCAUGGGGAGCAUUAAGAAGAGUGUGACCAGCAGGUUGAGGGAGGUUGUUCCUCCCCCUCUACUCUGCCCUGGUGAGGCCACAUCUGGAGCACUGCAUUAAGUUCUGGGCUCCUGAGCUUAAAAAGGACAAGGAAUUACUGGAAGGAGACCAGCGACAGGCUAUGAAGAUGGUGAGGGAUCUGGUGCAUCUUCCUUACGAAGAAAGACUGAGAGAGCUGGGGCUGUUCAGCUUGGAGAAGAGAAGGCUGAGAGGGGAUCUUAUUUAUGCUGAUAAACAUCUCCAGGGUGGGUGUCAAGAGGAUGGACCAGACUCUUUUCAGUGGUGCCCAGAGACAGGGUGAGGGGCGACGGGCACAUACUGAAACACAGGAGGUUCCAUCUGAAUAUGAGGAGAAACUUCUUUCCUGUGAGAGGCCAGAGUCUGGCCCAGGUUGCCCAGAGAGGUUGUGAGGUCUCCUUCUCUGAGACAUUCAAACCCACCUGGACACAACCCUGUGUGAUCUGCUCUGGUGACCCUGUGUUAGCAGGUGGGUUGGACUGGAUGAUCUCCAGAGGUCCCUUCAACCCCAACCAGUCUGUGAUUCUCUGAUUCUGAGUCUGAUGUGCAAUGUUUAGGCAUAGGUGUGGUAUAGAUUAUGAUCUGUCCAUAGUCUGACAUCCUCCAUGGGGAGAGAAUGGACCUGCCAUGCAGAAAGCAUCAAUUGUUUGGGAAUGUGACAUAUCUGGUUGGGACUGGCAGGGUCCAUUUCAAUGGAUAUUGACUGUGGGCAGCCAGUUCUGAAUAUUUCUGGUCAGAUGGUGGCAGAGAAGUUGUAUGGAUGGCCUUUCCCAGGAGUUUGCAGCUGUUUAAAUAGCCACCCUGCGGGAGUCGUAGCACAUUCUUAUACCUCAGCAGGGACAGGGAAAGCCAUGGGGACAAGGAGUCCUUCCCACUUCCUGGCUUCCAUAGAUUACUUUAAUUGGUAAAACUAUGCUCCUGUCGCUGGAGAGGACAUGUCAUAAAACAAAACCCUGAGCCUAAGAAUCCAUUUGCCCUGAGGCUCAACAAAACCCUCUUGGGUAAAUCUGUGUCUGUGGGGAGUCAGGGCACCAGCAGUGAGAGGAAUCCCUUGGAAAGGGGACAACACGCUUGUCACACCUCUCAAAGGGGAACAUAAUAAACAAUCUUUAUGGUUGUCUGGCACACUCCUUUUUUUUCCCUAGUGAUUUUUGCCUUUUCCGUCUGAACAAGUACAUGCGUCCUCAGUGCAGAGUCAUUAUCUUUUUAGGGUGAGAGAAAAUUAAAACAAUUUCUGUGUGUGCAUCUGUAUAUAUAUGAAAGUAGUUGACAUUAUUCUAACAAGGUACCUCUUCACUGCUUUCGCAUUGAAUUUGGUUAUGACAAGCAUGAAAGCACUAUUGAAAGUGGUACUUGGCAGCUCAUACUUUCAAACACUUCUUUUUUUCUAAAGCUAAUUGAUAAAUUUUUAUAGGAACAAAUAAUUCUGAUUUGUGUCUGAACUUUAACAAGUGCUAUUAAGCAGGCUUCUUUUCUCUAAAUCUGUUUAUGCAAGCCUAUUUUAUUUGUGCAAGAGAUGGACAUGUUACACUUUACACAAGAACACAGAGAACUAGAAUUUGAAGAUAAACUAUGCUUUCCAUACAGUAAGCUAACAGUUGCCUGGAUACUGUUGCAUACAACCAAUAUUAAUCCCAUAAUAGAUCUGAGAUAAAAAUAAUCUUCAGGUUCUCAAAAGAUAAUUGUAAGUACAAUUUUGAUAUUGCCUAUGGUUGUUCUAGAAAUAUAGUUUAAGCUUACUCUCCAGCAUCACUAUUCUACGCUAUUCUGUAUAAAAUCAGUAAAGAAAUUAAAAUAUUUUUACCUUUAAAUUUGCUGCUGAAUGAUAAUUACUGUUCUUGUGAGUCUACUUGCCUGAUUCCGAACCAGUUAAUUUUCCUAUCAAAAGGGCCUUUGCAGUGUGUGCUGAGUUCUCGUUCCUCGAGCUUCAACACAGCUUGGGCAGGUCCUCGUUCUUCAAGCUUCACACUGAGUAGGGUGAGAGGGUUUCUUCCACUUUCACAGUGUCCAGCCAUUCCCCUUGCCGAGCCCAAAGGGAAAUAAUUUAUUCUUCUGGUUUCUCCAUGUGUCUCUGAGAUUCUUUCCCAGUCUCCCAAAGGUCUCUGCCCAGGACAGCAGGACAGUAGAGCUUCCCUCCAUAUAUACACACUGCUGAUCUUGUGUGGAAGUUUCCAAGGACCUCAGGCAAGAACUUGUAACCUGAAAUCAGAAAAAGUUCAAUAACCAAUAUGUUUUAAAGCCUGCCUUUGAGCUUGCUAUUCACUGAACAUUAGCAGGAAAGCACGUGUUGCAAACAUUUUAUACCUGUUAAAUUGUUAAUAAAAGUUUUCCAGAAGUUGUUUUGGUUUGAUUCUUUUUUCCCAAUAAGCAGAGUCCCAGAGAUGAAGCAAUGACCAUAAUUUCUAUUCCUUUAAGAUUUUUUUUUUAGUUUAACUUUCCUUAAAAACUUUAGGUAUCUUCAAGAUCAGUUCAUUUAAAUAAAAUUUGAUCAACGGUUGUUUUGUUCAGUGUUGUUCUGAUAAGUUUGCUUGAUGGGUAUCUGACUUUCCUUCAUGUGACAAAAAGAAAAAAAAAAAGAAACAGAAUGGUCUUUAACAUAAGUGGCAAAUGGUGUAUCUGACAGCCUUGAGACUGCAGAUCCAUGUUACAAAGGCAUGGGAGAUGUCGUUUCAACAUCUCCAUGUCUCCAACUCUAUAAGAAUUCACUGUAUAAGAAGUUCCCAUGACCGGAAACCCAAGUUUCAUUCCAUACGGGUUUACUUUGGAGAGAAAUUUGUUCCUGCAGCUUGUGUCUGUGUGAUCUCUUCCAGCUUCUAAGUGCAACUUGGUUUUAGUCCAGAAAAUUGUGCUAGAUUGAAAAUCCAAGAGUGAGAGAUUUCCUGCCCCUCUAUCACAUAAUUACAGUCGGAUGGAGACAGAAUUGGUCUUUGAUCUCCAAGCUGGCUCCAACUUUUCCCUCUCCAGCACGGACUGGCUGAUACCUUAGCUCCACGCUUUCCAACCUAUUUGUGUAGCAUACGAAGGACACCACGUAAUCAUAAUCAAUUCUUUAAAAGUUACUAGAUAAAAAAGGUAUAAACAGCCCUUGGAACAGGAACUGGAAACAGGCCUCCGCAUUUCAGGUGACAGCCCUGUUGCUUUGGCUAGCAGAUGGCCAGAUCCCAGAUCUGCUGCAUAAAGGCUCAGUUUCAGCGUGAUAGGCAAAGAACACUCUCUUCUGUCUCCCCAACACGUAGGCUGUCUGCUGACAAAGCCAUUAGUGGAGCCUCAUGGGAGAGUUUGAACCUCCACAGAUGACAAGGGCUGGAAGGCUUUCCACAAUACAUUUGAAAGGGGGCAGCAGUUACCUCCUUUUUCUGCAGCACCUGGAGAGAAUGGAAAGAGCCUGUUUUAUACCUUUGAAAGCAAAAAUGUACAUGUUAGUGCAAGAACACAUGGCCUAGUUAAUAAGGGUCUCCUGGUGCGUAAGACCCACACACCAAACCUAUGGCAAAGGAAGGGUUUCAGACACUUCAGAGUUUAUUCUGAUGUCUACCACCCUCAUUCUGUCAGUUGUUAAAUAUCGCUUUUGGAAUCAUCUCUUUUUCAAGCAUCUUAGGACUCUGAGGAAGAAGAAACCAGCUCAAGAUCUGGGGAACUCCAAGUUAGAUGUCAUGACUGUUUGGCAUUCAUUUCACCUAUUUAGUUCCUUUCAAAGUUCACUUUCUGUCAAAGACUUUCAUCCUACCUAAGGUUUGUGUAGAAAGAUGCUCUUCCAGGGUGCAACUGGUUGUAUCCUAAGUUAGGUGAUGCACUAUUGUUGUCUAGAGGUUUCCCUCUCUCUCUUCCCCCUCAAAGACUAUAUCAGACCCAGUAUCUUACGUCAAGAAGUGAGAUAAAUCCUUGUAAGAGCGCUUCGCUUAACUUCUGCUGGAUUUAACCCUUUCAUUUGCUGAGUGAGGCCUUUAUAAAAAUUGAAGCACACAGAUAUUUUUUGUCUGUUUUGUUUCUUUCAAUGACAAAUUUCCCAUGGUAGAGUCGCCUUCUAGAAUGUAUGUGUCUUACUUGCUGGCACGAUGGCAUCUGAAUCUUAGAAAUGUGACAGGCUGUAAGUGUGCAUUUGUCACGUAUAAACUUAUAACUUUAAAAAAAAAAGAGGUUUCGUUUUUAGUUUUCCCAUAGCCUUCAGUUUUUCUCUAAAGUGAUACAUCCACAGUCUUUUGCAGUAGGCACUUUAAUAAAAUACAUUAUACAUUAUCCAAUGAGCAAUGUUCCCAAGUCUCCUCCUUUCCAUUAUCUAUUGGUUUGCUUUUUUAUUAAAGUUCAUGUUACAAAUGAAAACCACAGAGUUCUUGUGGGUGAAUUUUAAAUGUGUAUAUCAGAUAUAAAAUAUUGAUUUGCAGUCAUUUCAUUUUCAAAAAAAAAAACAACAACCCAGCACACAUUUUACAAUGGAAAAGUUCACACAGGACACAGGAAAUAAAGAAAAAUGUUUCCUUCCCACUUCAGUGCAGGAGCUACACAGUGUGUUCCAACUCAGAGAACAUGCAAACAACCUCCAGUCUUCAGGCAAGGUCAGCAAAGCAGAUGUGAUUUUAAGUUUACCACUUGCAUAGCGUGAGAACAAUCCCCGGAUAAUGGGAAGACCUCAUGGGGAAGCCAUGGAGCUUGCUAAGCGUCUUGGCUAAAUGCACCAUAUGAUUCACUGUGUGCCAUUUCCACAUUACUCAAUGCUCUUGGGGCCGCUGGAACAGCAAAGAUUAAAAAUAAGUAAAUAAGUAAAUAAAUAAAUAAAUACUUUGACAUAAAUAUCUUUAAAGACUGGGGGAGGGGAGAAAACUACAUUAAGAGUCCAGGACUAGCAUUGAAGUCUUCCAUCUCUCUCCUCCAUCCUCUCCCUUUGAAGGAUGCCAUGCUCUCCAUGGAUAAGUUGCAAUACUAAAGAUUUGUGAGGAUCAUCCUAGGGUAAAGUGCAUGCUAGUUAACUUCUAAAUUUUGAGCCUCUCUUGGCUCUUCCCUUGGCAGCUGUGAGCUGAGACCUUUAGCAUAAAAACUAAAUGUAUACAUGGCCUUUCUUUAAGAGAUUUCAGGUUCAACAUUUAGUUUAUUGGAGUCUUGAUCCUUGACAGAGAUUUCUAUAUUGUAUUUCAAAGAGGACAAGGAAAUGAAAACAUGAAUAAAUGUUAGAGAAAAAAGAAAAAGCAGGACAUUUUCCUUGGAAACUUCUCACAGACAUUUCAAAAAGUGAGACCUGUCUAAAUAAACAUGCAAUUCACUGACAGCAGAAGAUUAUCCAUUUGUAGUUCAUCAGUGUUUUAUCAUAAUAAAAACAUUAAGGAGAUAAUAUUCUCUUUUAAAUUUUUUUGAGGGGGAAGAGCAAUAACAUUGUCAAGUGAUGUAUGUGACAGAGUAAGUUAACGUUUGUAACUCAGAAUAAGGUCAGGUGACUAAUGUUGGAAGAUAAAUUUUAAUCAUUCUCUGUCAUGUGGGUAUUAGAAUUUGUUGGCUCUGGAUCUCACUAGUGCAUAGAUGUGAAUCAAGCUGUAGUUUUCUGCUAAUUUGAUGUUCUAUAAAGUAAUAAUGAAUUGGAAUCUGAAGCUAUGAAAACUUUAAUAGGCUAUCACGUAAUUAUUGUGUGUGGGUUUUUUUUUUUUCUCUAAGCAUACUUAAUCACUAGCGAAAACACCCACCAAAUGCAGUUACAUCCUCCCUCAUGCUGGAGUCUCUGAACUGGUUGUCCACAUUUUCCUGGAAAAAAAAAUACAUUAGGCAGAAUUGAAGAAUCACUGUCUAUCACUUGAAGUCUGCUUUUUAUCAACAGUCUAACUAGUUUAAUGGUAUUUAUUCUGCAACCGAGGAAAGUGAUUGAUUUAAAUUCAUUUAUGUCCCUUAGUGAAAUGUGUAUCUGCGCAAAUUAGUACAGAAAAUUAACUAACCACGACUUCUUAUCCAAGAUCUAUUUCACACUUUGAAAAUUUAACCUUAACCCAGGUUCUGGAGCACAGAUAUCCACUUUAUGAGAUAAAUUAUGUCAAAUAACCUUUCUGAUAACUUACCUGUUUUUCUUGCCUGGUCUUGUGUUGCACUUACCUUCUACCCUGAGCUGAUUUUCCCAAGAUGGAACUCUCAAGCAAGAUGGUAAGAGAGAUCACAAGAGUAAAAUUGGAAAACACACAGCACUGAAAAGACUUUGCCUUCAGAGCAGUCAGGUCAACCCUACCAAAAAGUCAAGCCUUGCUUUACCUCAAAAUUGGAAAAAGGCAACUGUCCAUGUAAGAUUGGAAAUGCUGGUCCUGGAGGCAACUGUCUCACACUCAGUCUCCAUCCUUGCAGGCAGUGUGGGUAUCACACAGCCAGGACACUUUAUGUCCACAGGUAAAAACCCCUGGCGACAACUGUGGAUGAGCUUUACAAGGAACAGCCCUCAUUUUGCCAAAAUGAAGCUUUUCCUGUGAUCACGGACAAAGGGUGCCUUGGAUGCUUAUACUACACAAACAAGCUCAAGAGAAGGAUUUUCCACCUCAAAUCCCAGAGACACAUUGUGGAGGGGGUUUUGGUAAAUAAAGACUUUGUUGAUGAAUUAGUCUGGCUCAAAGGGAUCUCAAGGCCGCUUCGGGGAGCUGAGAGCAGAGUCCGCUGUGAGAAAGAGGGGCAUUCCACAAUCACCGGGGUCCUGGCGUGGCGUGAAUCAUCGGACGUAUCAUUAGUGAGACUCCAGAGCACGGACAGCCCACGAUACUCAUUUAACGAAUCCAUGCUUGGAGCGUGGACGCGUGAUUAGAAUAUAGUUACAUAUAUAAGGAGACUUGUUUCUGUAAUAAAUGGCUUAGCGUGAUUCACAUUGAAUCGACUUGUUUUGCUGAGUCCUUAUCUCGCUCUUACAACACAUUGCUGCAUUUUCCACGCUGGCUAUAUUAUGAAGAUGUAAAGAGGUGACAAGGCACAGAGGACGUGCCUUUCCUGCAAGCACCUGUGUAUAGGGGUGUCUUAGAACAAGGAG